UACGGGGGGGGCAAGCGUUGUUCGGAAUUACUGGGCGUAAAGGGCUUGUAGGCGGCCAACUAAGUCAGACGUGAAAUCCCUCGGCUUAACCGGGGAACUGCGUCUGAUACUGGACGGCUUGAGUUUGGGAGAGGGACGCGGAAUUCCAGGUGUAGCGGUGAAAUGCGUAGAUAUCUGGAGGAAUACCGGUGGCGAAGGCGGCAUCCUGGACCGACAUUGACGCUGAGGAGCGAAAGCUAGGGGAGCAAACGGG
rnacentral:rRNA from 1 species